rnacentral:lncRNA from 1 species
UGCUUGAUUGGUAAGCCAAUAUUUUAUGGUUAUUUUUUUUUUUUAAUUACAGCAACUGUAUUCCAAGAGUCUGAUGGCUGAUAAUGUAUUACAGGAUUUUAUCAUUCAAGCAACAUCUUAGAAGGAUAAGUGCAAAUGUAUGAAGGAAGCCGUGGGUACAAAUAGCAAUUACAGCAGAUACAUGCAGGAGAGAACUCUUAAACAAAGACAUGAUAUGGGAGUGAUGUAUUCAAGAAAUCUCAAACACAUGGAAUUAAAUAUUGUGUAUAUUUUUUCAAACACAAGUACUUUCAGAAUAUAAUACAAUCAUGACAAUUCAAAUUCAAAUUAUUGUGUCAAAAUGACAAUUAUAGUCUAAAAAUGAAUAAUGCAUGUUUUAAACUGAAUUUUAU